rnacentral:rRNA from 1 species
UUCGAGUGGCGGACGGGUGAGUAACGCGUGGGUAACCUGCCUUACACAGGGGGAUAACACCUGGAAACAGGUGCUAAUACCGCAUAAGCGCACAGGGCCGCAUGGCCCGGUGUGAAAAACUCCGGUGGUGUAAGAUGGACCCGCGUCUGAUUAGCUUGUUGGCGGGGUAACGGCCCACCAAGGCGACGAUCAGUAGCCGGCCUGAGAGGGCGGACGGCCACAUUGGGACUGAGACACGGCCCAGACUCCUACGGGAGGCAGCAG